GACGAACGCUGGCGGCGUGCUUAACACAUGCAAGUCGAACGGAAAGGCCCUGCUUUUGUGGGGUGCUCGAGUGGCGAACGGGGGAGUAACACGUGAGUAACCUGCCCUUGACUUUGGGAUAACUUCAGGAAACUGGGGCUAAUACCGGAUAGGAGCUCCUGCUGCAUGGUGGUGGUUGGAAAGUUUCGGCGGUUGGGGAUGGACUCGCGGCUUAUCAGCUUGUUGGUGGGGUAGUGGCUUACCAAGGCUUUGAAGGGUAGCCGGCCUGAGAGGGUGAACGGCCACAUUGGGACUGAGAGACGGCCCAGACUGCUACGGGCGGCAGCAGUGGGGAAUAUUGCACAAUGGGCGGAAGCCUGAUGCAGCAACGCCGCGUGCGGGAUGACGGCCUUCGGGUUGUAAACCGCUUUCGCCUGUGACGAAGCGUGAGUGACGGUAAUGGGUAAAGAAGCACCGGCUAACUACGUG
rnacentral:rRNA from 1 species